GAAAAUUCUUCCUCAGAUUUUUCUCUAAAAGUUCUGAUGACAUCCUUAAUUUUUUCAGUCUUUACCAUGGGAUAGAAUUUAACCAUGAACUUCCUAGACAGUUGUUCCCAUGAUGUGAUGGAAUUAGAAGCAAGAGAAUACAACCAUGCAGCGGCACGAUCCUCUAAAGUCAUGGGAAACAACCUUAAUUUAAUACCCUCUUCAUCUAAGUUUUGAUUUCUAAACGUUUGACAGAUUGUCAAAAAUUUGUUUAGAUGAAUAUACGGUUGUUCCCUCUCAAACCCAUGAAAUUUGGGUAACAUGUUUAUUGUUGCAGCCCG
rnacentral:lncRNA from 1 species